rnacentral:rRNA from 1 species
AACCGUAAGCUUACCUGCUUCGCUGACGAGUGGCGGACGGGUGAGUAAUGUCUGGGAAACUGCCCGAUGGAGGGGGAUAACUACUGGAAACGGUAGCUAAUACCGCAUAACGUCGCAAGACCAAAGAGGGGGACCUUCGGGCCUCUUGCCAUCGGAUGUGCCCAGAUGGGAUUAGCUAGUAGGUGGGGUAACGGCUCACCUAGGCGACGAUCCCUAGCUGGUCUGAGAGGAUGACCAGCCACACUGGAACUGAGACACGGUCCAGACUCCUACGGGAGGCAGCAGUGGGGAAUAUUGCACAAUGGGCGCAAGCCUGAUGCAGCCAUGCCGCGUGUAUGAAGAAGGCCUUCGGGUUGUAAAGUACUUUCAGCGGGGAGGAAGGCAGUACGGUUAAUAACCGUGCUGAUUGACGUUACCCGCAGAAGAAGCACCGGCUAACUCCGUGCCAGCAGCCGCGGUAAUACGGAGGGUGCAAGCGUUAAUCGGAAUUACUGGGCGUAAAGCGCACGCAGGCGGUCUGUCAAGUCGGAUGUGAAAUCCCCGGGCUCAACCUGGGAACUGCAUUCGAAACUGGCAGG